rnacentral:lncRNA from 1 species
UUUUCCUUCGACAUAAGCAAUCUGAGGAUCUUGGCAGCCUUGGUAUAAAAUAAAAUAAUACCCUCUUUCUAAUCUCUCUCCUAGUAUUAAAGUUAUCUGACAAGAUCUCCUGGUUUACUCUCUUCAAGCAUGCAAAGAGGCCUUCAGCAACUGCCUGUUUCUCAAACUGGGAAAGUUCUGUUCCCAAAACAAAAAAAAAGUUGUACAAAUUUACAAACUCUUUGGGUUGCAAGGAGGUUGUUUUAUGUGGUGUUUCUAACUUUGUGCAAUUCACUCCCCUUUUUCACUGUGUUUCUAGGGGAAAAGUUGCAAUUAUGGAUUAGACGAUCACAACUGGUGAGACAUUUGGGCUAUUCCUCUAUGCUGUGGACCCUGUCACCUGAAGAGGAGGACCCUGGCCUGCAAAGUUUAGCUGAACUUCAAAUACUUUUGGAAAAAGAUAUGAGUCGUGACAGUUGCUUACUAGCUUGGUAAAAGUGGUGCCCAACCACUUUAAGUCCUGUGAAGGCUCUAACAGAUGUGACCAGAGGAGGAGCCCCGUGUCCAGUAGCUCCUUUGGCACUGAUGCAGCCGCUCAGUUUGAAAAGCAAGAAGCAGCCCUAGGUGACUUCCCAAGACUUCACUGGAAAGCUGUGGCCCAGAUGCUGUAUCUAUGUUUACAGCCUUUUGAGAGGCUGGAUGCAGAAGAUCGUUUGGCCCCAUGCUGGAACAUCUCCAAGUGCUGGUGGGUAUCAUUUUGCUGAACAGUUCUUAAGGGAAGCAGAUGUAACGGGGAAAAAUGUCAAUUCUCCCAAUUUGAAGAAAGGACGACUUUGUUUUUAAUUUAAGCUGUGGUGAGAAGUACCACCCAAGGUCAAGCCCUGUGCUGAGGGACAGCAUCAUGCUGUGGCGGGGACGAGGAGUGGCCAGGGCAGAAAAGGAGACGGUGGGUGAGGGAGUGGGGGAUGUCUGCUUUUGUCACAGCCGUAUGCCACAAAGCGUGGUGCUAUGGAGGGGCCUCAUCUCCUCCCUCAGGUGCCCUGCCCACUCUUCUUUCCCUUUCUGUUAUUCAGUUAUUAUUUGCGUGCUUGUCUACAUGAUAGACAAACUAGUUGAGCUGUUGUUUCGUUUUCCUUCUACUGGAGGUAAAACAACAUCAGUGGAAAAGAAGACUCCCCUGUUAUAUCUUUGUGUAAUAUCAAAAGGAGCUGUGAGAGUUAAAACGAUUUUUCUUCCCUAGCAAAAUAAGAGAUGAAAGAUUUUAAAGCCUAAUUGUAUCAAAGGAAGGAAAUUAAAAUUUCCUUAUAGGAAUUCAGGUUUGCUGAAAAAUUCAGGUCCAGCCCAGAGACAAAUAUGUUUUAUAUUAAAACUUGAACAACCAGCCAGUAUAACAUUUCCUUAAGGUUUGUCCAUCAUGCUACUGGUUUCUGCAUGGAGGGAAACAUAACCUUCCCUUGCUACGUCUCAAGGAAAGUAAACAAUAUUGUUAAGAAGC